rnacentral:tRNA from 1 species
CUAGUGAUAGUUUAAAGAGAAUAAAGGCUUUGGGUGCCUUAGGUGCAGUAGCCUGAUCACUAGA